GGGGAAUAUUGCGCAAUGGGCGGAAGCCUGACGCAGCGACGCCGCGUGAGGGAUGAAGGCCUUCGGGUUGUAAACCUCUUUCAGCAGGAACGAAUACAGACGGUACCUGCAGAAGAAGCACCGGCUAACUACGUGCCAGCAGCCGCGGUAAUACGUAGGGUGCAAGCGUUGUCCGGAUUUAUUGGGCGUAAAGAGCUCGUAGGCGGUUUGUCGCGUCGACUGUGAAAGCCCGGGGCUCAACUCCGGGUCUGCAGUCGAUACGGGCAGACUAGAGUUCGGUAGGGGAGACUGGAAUUCCUGGUGUAGCGGUGAAAUGCGCAGAUAUCAGGAGGAACACCGGUGGCGAAGGCGGGUCUCUGGGCCGAUACUGACGCUGAGGAGCGAAAGCGUGGGGAGCAAAC
rnacentral:rRNA from 1 species